UAGGGAAUAUUGCACAAUGGGGGAAAGACCCUGAUGCAGCGACGCCGCGUGAAGGAAGAAGUAUCUCGGUAUGUAAACUUCUAUCAGCAGGGAAGACAAUGACGGUACCUGACUAAGAAGCCCCGGCUAACUACGUGCCAGCAGCCGCGGUAAUACGUAGGGGGCAAGCGUUAUCCGGAUUUACUGGGUGUAAAGGGAGCGUAGACGGAGAGGCAAGUCUGAUGUGAAAGGCAGGGGCUCAACCCCUGACUGCAUUGGAAACUGUCCCUCUUGAGUGCCGGAGGGGUAAGCGGAAUUCCUAGUGUAGCGGUGAAAUGCGUAGAUAUUAGGAGGAACACCAGUGGCGAAGGCGGAUUGCUGGACAGUAACUGACGCUGAGGCGCGAAAGCGUGGGGAGCAAACAGGAUUAGAUACC
rnacentral:rRNA from 1 species